CCUUCUUUCUUCUCUACAGACCAGUUUUCACUGAUUCAACAUUCACAUGGCAAAGCCUUCCCUGUCUGCAUUUCCUGCACCUAAGAGACCAGCUCAGGUUGCCAUUGGAGUCUCCAGCUCAAUUCCAAAGUCUGGAAGAGAGAAUAGGCUUGACCCAGUUGUGAGUCCCGUACCUCCCUGGCCCAGUUAAUACCAUGGAGGCAAGGUCAUGUGCUCAAACUCAAACAUGGCUGCGAAGGGCUCACCCAGAAGUGUGGUGUGUGUGAAGUUCUCAAAGAAGGGAGAGACAGGGGCUAAAAGAUACCCCUAAGUGUCUACCAUAUUGGGUGAGGAAGAAAGGAAGGGAGAUAAAAAUCAUGUUAAGUACUUUAGGGAGUGGGUGAGAAGGGGCCAAUCAGCUUGAGAGAAACAGAUUCCAACAGCAGGUGAAAAGCUGAGAGGUAAAAGCUAUCCCUGGGCAUUGCUGAAAAUUCCUCAGAAAAGAAGUCAAAUUUCGAUCUUGUAAGGACUUUUCUUGAAUGAGGAGUGAGGAAAAGAGGUGGGUAAAGAAAUAAGAAGGAAAGAAAGGACUGGACCUAGAGAAGAAAAAGAGUUGUCACUGAGAAAAUAGAGGGUAGGAUUAGGCAUCCCUCUAACCUCUCAGCCCAGGCCCACCCCGGAAGAGUGAAAAGCCAGGACUUGAGGCUGUUCCAGGCCGAAGUCCCCAGAGAACGUGCGUAGGUGUGCAUUCCCUAGCAAUAGCUGGCAGCAACGUUUCUGUCUAGAAAAGGUCACUGAAACAGAUUGGGGUUAGCCUUAAUAUUGUUUCCCUACAGAGAUCAGAACACUUGCGUGGAGGCCAGAACGCCGCCCUGCGGGUCGCCAGGUUUUCACGUAGCCCGAACUGAUAAGUGCAGCAAUGGGGCGUCGGCUGUGAGCGGGGCAGUGAGCAGUUCCGAGAAGCGCGAGGGAGGGGGGCUGGGGGCGUGCGGGGCAGGAGGGUGUGACUUCCAAACUCUUUCCCCUCCUGUGCGCUGGGAACGGCAGGGGCGGAAAGGAUGUGCUGGCGCAGGCGCUAGCCCAGGAAACUGAAGCCUGUGUUUGGCGAAAGCACCGGAAGGAAGUCGGGGAGGCCCAGCAGGAAGCCAGCUGACACAGGAAGUCGUGGGAAAUGCAGUCUACAGGAGCCAGUCCUGCUUUGACACAGAGCAGGGGGAGUAGGCUCUAUAUCCAGCAGGGAACAGACUCUGCUCCAUGUUGCCUUCACCUCAGAUCCUGGCUCUCCUCAUUGUGGUCCAGAGAAGAGAGAACAACGACGAACAUCUGUUAGCUCUUAGAGCUCUGGCUCUGAAGUGACACAUAUCACUUCCACUUGCAUUUUAUUGUCCCAAACAAAUCACAUGGUCAAGCCUGAUGUCAACAAGGCAAGGACAUAUAAUCUCAUCCAAGGGAGAAGCAGUGAAUACUCUUAAACAACAGUACAGUCUACCACAGCAAGACACUACAGAAACUGGAUUCAUUAGAAAUGAUAAAAGUUCACCUGACAAUCUCAAGGAUUCUAAUUAAAUGAAUCCCCAAGCUUGAAGUAAAAAUGAGAAAGUUUAUUUCAAAGAUGAAUCACUAGGUACUAAGCUUAUUCUUAUCAUAAAUAUAAAAGUCAGAUAAGAAGCACCCAUCUUAGAACAAACAUUAAGCUCUCUAUAUUAUGUUACUAUCACCAUGUGAUGUGUUAAGUAUUCAUGUUUUAUUGCCCGACUGAUUCUUACCCUGUGAUAAGAGCAAGUCUCUAGGAGAUAAACCUGACCUUUGCUCAGUAUUCAAUUGAGUGCACAGGGCAUGUGCUCCUGUGGUGUACCCACUUGGAUAAUUUCCCAUGAGCAUACAUGCCCAGGUCUAGUAUUUUCAAUAAAAACCAGUACAGAACCACAGUCUUCUCUGUCAGUGUCCCAUUUACAAGGUGUUCAAGUAUAUUCAUAGACGUGCCAGGAAAACCCAUCCCAAGGACUGCUCCAAAGUCUAGCUGCACUAGUUACCAUGCUGUGGUACCCGAAUAAAGAAAUAGGGCUUGGAAAUUCGAAUACCUGAAAAGGUCAGGUGAUAACUUUAGUGAUAAAAAGGAUGACAAAGAGCCCUUGGCCUUCAAACUCAUUGUCAGCAGGCUAGGGGGAAGGGAGGAGACUGACAAACGGAAGAAUCUGAGCUUCUAGGAAAAGCAGGUGCUACUCAGCUCCAACCAGUGGUUGCUAUGUAGAAAAAAAAAAAACACACCUUUUUUUCCUUAAGUUGCAAAUUAAAUUUAUGUGUGAAACCUGCUGAUUUUAAAUUUUGUCACUAAUUCAAAUUUUUGAAUAACUGUGUGAGCCAAUCUAAACACUGUUGUAGGCUAAGCUUCGAGCUAUCAAUCUGCCAUCUCUGAAGUAGGUAAACCAGGAUAGAGAGAUUUGGAGGAGGGAGGAGAAAUCUGGAGAGAAGUAGAGGAGGACUCCCGAAGGAGGGAAGGUGGAAUGGAGCAGAGCAGCAGGAGGAAAGGGAUGGGGACAGAUCCUAGAGGGAGAGGGACCUGGGAAGAAAGACAGAGAUGUUGAGACAGAAUAUUUAGAAAGCUUCAUGAUGUGUAAACUCUUCACUCUUCUUUUCAUAAAACCUUCAGGAAAAUAAGACUUUCAGCACAGGCGCUUUGGGAGUCAGAUCUGUGCUUUCUUUGUACAGUGGUCGCUCGGUUCCAGGACCCCUGCGGAUACCUAAAUCCAAGGAUGCUCAAGUCCUCUAUGUAGGAUGGCUAGUACAGUGGGCGCUGCGUAUGUGGGAUGCAGACCCUGUACAUCACUGUGUUGAGACUGGCUGCAAAGAGGCCCAGUUACAUUUGAGUUGUGUUUGAGACUCCACAUAAUGCCCCUUGUUCUGAGUCCAGAUCGCAAUCCAGUUUCCCAGAUGGGAGGAGAGGCCGGGGAGGUGGGAGAUUCAGAGCUUGGGUCUCAGAGGCAGGAAGAACUGGGUUUGAAUUGUGGGUCCACCGCUUAUUUGCUCUAAACAUUUCUGAACCCCAAUGCAAAGUGGGGAUAAAAAUAGUACCCACUGUAUAGUGUUGUAGAGAGACUUACUUAUGAAGAUAAAAUGCUCAGCACAAUACCUAGCACAUGGUAUGCACUCAACAGAGUAACUGUAAUUGUUAUCGUUACUAUUUAUAUAUUAUUAUUUUCCUUUGUAGUCAUAAGCGCAUAGGGAGAGAACUUGCUGGUCAGCAAACACAAGUAGCCUAUCCAUCCAUUUACAAGUUUUACUUCUUACUAGAAAAUGAUUAAACAGCUCUCCUGGUUUUAUACAUCGGUCUCUCGGGGUUUGGUGGUGUGAAUCAGCCAUUGGGGCAUGAGUCCUGCUUUACACAGUCUGGCAUUUUUCCUUUUGCUGAGAAAUUUACCCUUAGUGCCUCCCACUCUGGAGGAAUUAUUCCCACAGUCUGUGGGCUUCUCUGGGUGGGAACCAGGUAUCAGCUUCACAGUCCGCGCUUCUGGAAGGGAUGAAAGCCUGCUGUCUGCUCAAAUGGCUUCGUCUCCCUCUCUCCCUAACCCCUGUGCCAUGGUCUGCUCAGUUGUAAAGGGAAGAGAGCAAAUUACCCAAGAGAGCAGUGUUUCAUUACUAUGGAGGGAAAUACCAUGUCGCUUGGCUCCCUUAGUUUUGGUAAUAUGAGUAGGUAGGAACUUAGCUCUGAGCAAAUAGUAUAAGACGACGUUCCUACGGCUUUAGUAAAAGCCACUUUAGACGUAGACCUUUUAUGACCAAUUGGUAUAAGGACCUCAGGAAUCUUCUGGAACCAAAGGUUCCAAUAUUCCCUAUCCCUGUUCUUAGUCCUCCCCCACGGAAGUAUGAGAAUUCUGUUCAGGUGAAUCUGGUGGGUUUUUGACCUGGAUCUUGUAGCAGCCUUAUUGUUUCAACCCAGGACUGCUGGAAUAAAAUUACCGUGAGAUAGGUCUUCAUUUACAAUUCAGACUAAUAUGGAAUCACACACACACACAUCUGGAAUGCUACAAACCCAACUGAAAACAGUGAUUAUCUUGUUCAGGUGGGAUGGCUGGCAACUUUCACUUUCACUUUAAACGUGUGUAUGCUUGCAUUUUCCA